GAGUUUGAUUAUGGCUCAGGAUGAACGCUAGCUACAGGCUUAACACAUGCAAGUCGAGGGGCAGCAUGAAGUCAGCUUGCUGACUUUGAUGGCGACCGGCGCACGGGUGCGUAACGCGUAUCAAACCUGCCGCAUACUCGGGGAUAGCCUUGCGAAAGUAAGAUUAAUACCCGAUGUUAUUGUUUUCCCGCAUGGGUAGAUAACCAAAGAUUUAUCGGUAUGCGAUGGUGAUGCGUCUGAUUAGGUAGUAGGCGGGGUAACGGCCCACCUAGCCAACGAUCAGUAGGGGUUCUGAGAGGAAGGUCCCCCACACUGGAACUGAGACACGGUCCAGACUCCUACGGGAGGCAGCAGUGAGGAAUAUUGGUCAAUGGACGAAAGUCUGAACCAGCCAAGUAGCGUGCAGGAUGACGGCCCUUCGGGUUGUAAACUGCUUUUAGUUGGGAAUAACGGCAGCCACGUGUGAACUGAUAAGAAUUACCUCNAAAAGNCG
rnacentral:rRNA from 1 species